AGGAAACGGCACACUUGUGCCACAUAUGAGAGCCCCAGACACACAUGAACUCAGAGACCGUGGCAGCAUGCACAAGGCCUGCACAGGUCUCAGCACUAAGAAGGAGAAGUGCACACAGUGCCCACCCUUACUUUUUAUUGUUUUAUUUUGUUCAUUGAGAUUUUGGAGUAGGGUCUUUCUACAUAGACCUGUCCUGAAAUUCACUAUGUAGGCUGGCCUCGAACUCACAGAAAUGCACCUGCCUCUGUUUUAUAAAUGCCGGUGUUAAAGGUGUGUGUGAACACGCACAGCCCAAGAAGCUAUUUGCAAUUGCAGUAGAUUCAUGCUGAGAAAGUUUGUUCCAGUGGACUGUGACUAGGUACAUCAACCACACCCCAGGGCAGGUCCUGUGUCCAAGGUAUUGGUCAGAACAAAAUGAAUUCUCGGCUGGUAUGUGUGAGUUCAUGUGCUUUUUGUUUUGUCUUUUAUUUGUAUUAUUUUCUGUUUGAUUUUUUUCUUUUUUUGAGAGAGAGAGAAAGACCAUGGUAUGGGUAAGGAUGUGUGAGAGGAGUGGGAGAGAAAAAACAAAUUGUAUGAAAAUAAUUAGGAAUAAAAUUAUCAUACAUUAUGACUUAUUUGUGAAUAACUAGAGUGUUAUUCAAAUUUAGCUCUAAAAUCUUGCUGCUCAGGGGCUAGAAAGUUUGGAGAACGUGAUGAGCUCUGAGCAGCCCCACAUGCUGCUACUGCACUAACCUUCUGUGCUGACUGACUUUAAAGUCCUUGGUUAUACCCAGCCCAGCAGCUUCACUUCCCUUUAGUAGCUUGUUCUACAUUUAACUCAUAUUGAGUAUUUCUAUCAUGAAAUUCUUCAUUAAGGAAAAACUGCUAACGGCUUGACUGUUUUGAAGACCUUUCUAAAGAGUAGGACUUAGAAGCUCCACCUGAAGGAGCAGGAAGUCACUGUAGGAAGUGCUGUGAGUUGGGGCUCAAUCUUGCUCACCGUGAGGUCCUGUCUCUAAAUGAAGAGAGUACGUGUUCUAGAAGUACAAGGAUAGAAUACACAGACAUUGCCUAACUUGGAAACUCUAGCGGUUUCCAUUUUGUUUGGCUUUUGGAGGCUGUGAUAUUUUUGAGGAAAAAGUGACACACAUUGCUUUCCUGUUUCCCAGCCAUUGACCUGAAGAACGGCUCUGGAGAGGUUUACCAAGGCCCUGCCAAAGGCUCUGCUGACACGACCAUCACAAUUUCUGAUGAGGAUUUCAUGGAAGUGGUCCUGGGCAAGCUUAACCCACAGAAUGCCUUCUUCAGUGGCAGACUGAAGGCCCGAGGAAACAUCAUGCUGAGCCAGAAGCUACAGAUGAUUCUGAAAGACUAUGCCAAGCUCUGAAGGACCCACUGCGUGCUUUAAUAAAACCAGAAUCAUUACGUUCUGUCUACGCAGUCAUGCUCCAGCCUUCUUUGAAACGAUCCACGGUAAUGUGCAGCAGAAAUUGCUUAACAUUUUCAGAUUCAGAUAACUUUCAGAUUUUCAUUUUCUACUAAUUUUUCACAUAUUAUUUUUACAAGGAACUGUAAUCUAGCUAGCAAAUAAUUGUUCUGUUCAUAGAUCUGUAUCUUAAUAAAAAAAAAAUCAACC
rnacentral:lncRNA from 1 species